rnacentral:tRNA from 1 species
GCUCAUGUAGCUCAGGGGUAGAGCACAUCCUUGGUAAGGAUGAGGUCCUCGGUUCAAUUCCGAGCAUGAGCUCCA